rnacentral:rRNA from 1 species
CCUACGGGAGGCAGCAGUGAGGAAUAUUGGUCAAUGGGCGUAAGCCUGAACCAGCCAAGUCGCGUGAGGGAUGAAGGUUCUAUGGAUCGUAAACCUCUUUUAUAAGGGAAUAAAGUGCGGGACGUGUCCCGUAUUGUAUGUACCUUAUGAAUAAGGAUCGGCUAACGCCGUGCCAGCAGCCGCGGUAAUACGGAGGAUCCUAGCGUUAUCCGGAUUUAGUGGGUUUAAAGGGUGCGUAGGCGGCCUUUUAAGUCAGCGGUGAAAGUCUGUGGCUCAACCAUAGAAUUGCCGUUGAAACUGGGAGGCUUGAGUAUGUUUGAGGCAGGCGGAAUGCGUGGUGUAGCGGUGAAAUGCUUAGAUAUCACGCAGAACCCCGAUUGCGAAGGCAGUCUGCCAAGCCAUGACUGACGCUGAUGCACGAAAGCGUGGGGAUCAAACAGGAUUAGAUACCCUAGUAGUC